UACGUAGGGUGCGAGCGUUGUCCGGAAUUAUUGGGCGUAAAGAGCUCGUAGGCGGUCUGUCGCGUCGGCUGUGAAAACCCGGAGCUCAACUCCGGGCCUGCAGUCGAUACGGGCAGGCUGGAGUUCGGUAGGGGAGACUGGAAUUCCUGGUGUAGCGGUGAAAUGCGCAGAUAUCAGGAGGAACACCGGUGGCGAAGGCGGGUCUCUGGGCCGAUACUGACGCUGAGGAGCGAAAGCGUGGGGAGCGAACAGG
rnacentral:rRNA from 1 species